CGCCCAGUGGUUGCCGCCAUCUUUGCGGCCCUGCCAGGAGCAGGGUGGCGCCAUGUUGGACCCUCCGACCGACGUCCCAGCCGCUGAGUUUAGAAUCACAGAAGCGAUCAUUGAACCUGUAGAGCCGUGAGGAGGAGACUCCGAAUGGGACUCCCUACCACCUCUGCUGCUCCCACCUGGCCUGAACCUCCAUCGCUUCUCCCCUGGACCAUGCCAACGACCUUGGAUUCCUGCUCCCACCUCAUUCCCUGUCUAGACUCAACGCAGCAGCCAGAGCAAUCCUAUAAAAAUGUCAGACCAUGUCAUUCUCCCACUCAAGCUAUUCCCAUAGGUAAGAAUAAAAACUAAAGGCUUUACAACCAAAAGGUCCUAUCCCGUCUGACCCCUGAAACUUCUCCAACCUCAUCUCCUUCUAAUGUCCCCUGUGGUCAGUCUGCUCAAACCACACUAGUUGACAGCAAGAGAAGGGACACAUCUAACUAAAGUUUCUGCAGUUGUAGUUCUGUCUGGACAACUCUGCUCUCAGAUAUCUGUACGGCCAUUCCCUCACUUUCCUCGGGUCUUGACUUCACCGUCAUCUUCUAAGUAAGAAUGGCCUUCCCUAUUUACAACUGAAGUUCCCCUUCCUAUCACUCUAGACACAAAACACUCACUUGCCAUCUCCCUUCCUGCUUUUUUGGGUUUUUAUACUGCGUACUUAUUUGUGCAUCAUCCAGCUCCCCAGCUAGAACGGCGGUCCCAUAAAGGCAAGGAUUUUGUCUGCCUCAUCCGUGCCAGAUUCUCGGCUCCUGCAACAGUGCUGGGGCACAGUAGGUGCUCGGGGAGUACCGUUCACAGAGCAUUCAGGGCAAUGGAAAUUGGAAAUGGUCUGAGGCCAUGAAUUACGGUAAUUCUGCCCCACUCUGCAGCCACUCAAAAUGCCAAGCUUCAGGAUAAACAACUAGAGAACACAGAAAAAGGCAGAGCACACAAAUAAAAGAGACCUGUGAACCCCUGGCUUUCUAAGCAGCACACUGAGAAGACUACUCAGAUGCAAACAUGAGCUACCUCCCAUGGAAAAGAAAGGACAGCUCAGAAGAAACCCACCAUCCAAGAAGCUGGAGUCUGGAGCUGCAGAGGGUCCUUCCCGAGGAGGAGUCCUGGGCCCUCGUCAGAGGCCCAGCAGCACGAGCCUAACUGGACUGCAGAAUUGCUGCGACCCAGGGUAGCCGUGCCACUCCUGUUCUCCCCCUUGCGAGAGAAGUGUUUGCUUCAGUUAUCUGAUGCUUGUCCACUUUAUUUUGGGGGCUGUGGAGAGCAGAAAACAUGUCUGCAGCUCACAGUUCUUCAGAUCAAGAGGAACAGGUCUCGAGAAGCUGUUCAUGCGGAAUCGUAGGGGCUUCGUCUUCUGAGGAGCUCCGUUUGCACCUGAACCUGAUUUACAUGAUAAGAUCCGUUAGGAGCCAGUGAUGUACUGAGAUAAGACUUCUAGGGUCUUUGGGAGAAGGUGGGGGUAUAUUUUGCACAAAGGAGAAAUAGAAAUAAUUUGUGUCCAGGAGGUAGACUGUGGUAAGUUAAAGAAAGCAGUAAAUUCUUUGUUCCUCCUUCCUUUGAGAUGUGGCAUCUACUUCCCUUCCUUUUGAGUUUGGGUUGACCUUACUGACUUCUUUGAGUGUAGCAAUGUGGAAUACAGCAGCAGUCCACGGCUGGAUCUUAAGAACCUCGCAGCUUUCACCUGGACCUCCUGAAAUGCUCAGGCUGCAGAAGCCUCCGAAGCCAGCCUCCGUGCUGUGAGGCUCCCAGACCCCAUGCAGGUAUUCUUCCCCAUGCCUCCAGCUGGGCCCCCAGUGGGCAGCCAGCGUCAACUGCCGGCCGCGGAACCGAGUCAUUGCAGAUGUCCAGGCACAUUAAACUUCAAUGACUGCAGCUCCAACUAAAAACGGAAAGCGGAUUGCAGUUACACAAAAGGGCCGUGGGGACGGGGGCCCUCUUCCACCGUCAUCCUUCCCGUGCUGUGGACUGAAGCCCUCCUAUGGCUCCAUCCUGACGUCGUGCCCUUACCUGACCAGCACACGUCCGUCCCUGCGUGCACUUUGCAUCCCCUUGGAACAACCUUCAAGGCCCUACAUCACUGGCCUUUGUAUCUUUCAUUUAUUUAUUCAUUCAACAAACGUAGCCUGAGCACUUACUGAGCGGCAGGCACUGUUCCGCACACUGGAGAGGGAAUGCUGAACAAAACAAAGACCCCUGCUCUCAUGUAACCGACAUUCCAGUGGCAGACACAGAAAACAGCCCACAGAAAUGAGUGCAAGUCCAGUAUAUUAGAUGGUGGUGAGUGUGAGGAGAGAAACAAAGCAGGGGAGGGGUGGCCCGGCUCCUCUGAGGAAGCCGGUCCUGCCUGGGGGCCUGCCUCCUGCUCCCAAGUACGUCCAGCUCCUUCCUGCCCCUGCCCGGUGAGCUCCUCUGUCCCGGACAGGGCUUCCGCCCCAGUUCUGAAGACCCUCCUGUGGUCGGACCCCUCUCACCACUGAGCUUAACUCAGUGACGCUGCAGGGAGCCCCUCUUGGUCACCCAGUGAUUCUCUGUCCUGUAACCUUGUUACAUUGUAAGGUUUUCUCCAUACCACCUCUCUGAGAAAGGAUCCUCUGUAAUUAUUCGUUUACUUUGUUUAAUCAUUUCAACAAUUACUUGUUUAUGUGUUCUUGGGGAAAUUCUCCCUCCUCCUAGAAUUUCAUUUCAUGAGAACAGGGACCGUGUCCACCUGGUU